rnacentral:lncRNA from 1 species
GAAAGUGUAUCAUUAUUCUGGAAAACUCCACAAAGUGAAAAAGUGGUUAUCCAAAUAGCAAAAUAGAGGCCCACAGUGCCAGUGAAUAAUUAUCUGCCUUAUGCUACCCGACUUGACUUUCCACUUUUCUUUGGUUGUAGAAAACUAACUUCUGAUUGUAUUACAAUUUUAACUUUUAAAAUAUUAUUAGCUUUCUUUGGACAACAGCAGAACCAUUUCUUACUACGGCUUUGAGUAACUUUGUAAUACCAUAUGCCACUCAAGUGUUCUUUCACUUACGAUUCUCAGAGUGAUUUUUCAUGAGUUUUUCUGAAAUUCCAAACUGGAAAAUUAUUUUUGGUCCCACUCAGACAUUAUACAGUCUUAGGGCUAAAUCAAACUACUAGCCUAUUAAAAAAAAAAAAACAAGGACAUAGUUUUAGACAAUGACAUGCUUGAUUAAUUAUUCAGUGGGGCCCGAUGGAUAUGUACAGGUUAUGUCCUUUUGCGUGUUUGAAUUUAUAGUGAGUUGAAUCUGUUCUCACGGGCUGGUUCCACGCAGGUGAGGGGACACAGAUGUUUCAUCUGAAUACAGUUGACUCAGUUACUGAAGAUGUGGCUGAAAUGGAAAGGGGCCUGGAACUUGAUGUACUCACUGGGACGCUAUCCUAGGGAUUGAGAUCAUUUGUAGGU